rnacentral:tRNA from 1 species
UGGGGAGUAGUCGAAUGGCAAGACGUCUGCCUCUGGAGCAGAAGAUUGAAGGUUCGAUCCCUUCCUCCCCAG